GUAGGGAAUAUUGGUCAAUGGAUGGAAGUCUGAACCAGCCAUGCCGCGUGCAGGAAGAAGGCCUUCUGGGUUGUAAACUGCUUUUGCCAGGGGAUAAAAUGACCUUGCGAGGUUAAUUGAAGGUACCUGGUGAAUAAGCCACGGCUAACUACGUGCCAGCAGCCGCGGUAAUACGUAGGUGGCAAGCGUUGUCCGGAUUUAUUGGGUUUAAAGGGUGCGUAGGCGGCUUAUUAAGUCAGUGGUGAAAUACUCUAGCUCAACUAGAGGGGUGCCAUUGAUACUGAUGAGCUUGAGUACAGAUGAGGUAGGCGGAAUUGACGGUGUAGCGGUGAAAUGCUUAGAUAUCGUCAAGAACACCUAUAGCGAAGGCAGCUUACUAGGCUGUAACUGACGCUGAGGCACGAAAGUGUGGGGAUCAAACAGGAUUAGAAACCCUGGUAGUCC
rnacentral:rRNA from 1 species